rnacentral:rRNA from 1 species
GACGUAGGGCGCGAGCGUUGUCCGGAUUUAUUGGGCGUAAAGAGCUCGUAGGCGGCUUGUUGCGUCGACUGUGAAGACCCGCGGCUUAACUGCGGGCUUGCAGUUGAUACGGGCAGGCUAGAGUUCGGUAGGGGAGACUGGAAUUCCUGGUGUAGCGGUGAAAUGCGCAGAUAUCAGGAGGAACACCGGUGGCGAAGGCGGGUCUCUGGGCCGAUACUGACGCUGAGGAGCGAAAGCGUGGGGAGCGAACAGG